UGCUUCCUGAACCUACAACCAGAGUGGAUUUCCUACAAUACAUUUAUUGUAGGGGUUCUGCGGGGCCUGCAAGAUGAAGACUUUAGCUACAGAUCUGGAUACUGGAUUGGACUGAGUGAUCAAGACAUCAAGGAACAUACAAAUGGACAACUGGGUCUUUGCCUUCCAGAAAGUAAUUAGCAUGAAAUAACAGUAUACUAAGUCUACUUCUACUAUUACUACUGCAACUACUACUUCUGAACAAUAAUACAACAAUAAUAAAACUGAUCGGUGUUUGGGGACAAUAAAUGUAUUAUGACAUCAUUUUAAACAUUUGCGUUACUGGUUUAGAAAUUCUGGAGAAGACUUUUUGGUUUGUGUGUUUGGCGUUGGUUUCAGGUACUGGAUUGACGGAGAGCCCUAUGAUGGCGAUGGCUAUGAGGACUGUGUGGCCACCUAUCCCACCGUGAACCCACUGAAGAGCUGGAAUGACCUCACCUGCACACAACUACUAAAGUGGAUCUGUGCCAAAGGGCCUCAGCCAGUAGCAGCUAGUCUGGAGAGCUAGUGUGGAUUUAGCAAUGAGCAAAACUAAGCUUGAUGGCAUUUCAGUAGCUAUGUUAGUGAGAAGCAUUGCAUUUUAUGUCAUAAUAAAAUGAUUUGUUUUCCACAAAA